AGGUCUGAGGUGGAAGUGUGGCGACACAUGGAGCUGACAGAUACUAAUCGAUCGAGGACUUAACCUAA
rnacentral:rRNA from 1 species